GACCGCCAGUGAAAAUCGAUUUUCACUGGCGGUUUUAUUACGCCAACCGCCAGUGAAAAUCGAUUUUCACUGGCGGUC
rnacentral:pre_miRNA from 7 species